ACUCCCAGAAUCCCCAGCCAGCAAAGCUGGCUGGGGGAUUCUGGGAGUUGAAGUCCACCAGGCUUAAACUUGCCAAGGUUGGCGAUCCCUGAUCUAGUCCAGUGGUGAAAUCUAAAUGUCUUUCCUACCGGUUCUGUGGGCGUGGCUUGGUGGUGAGAUCAUGUGACUGUGUGGGCGUGGCUAUGUGACAGGGAUCAAAAGACAAAGUCACUCACAAUGUCCUGCUGGAGCAGGGUUGGACUAGAUGACCUCUAGGUCCCUUCCAGCCCUGGAUUAUCCUCUGAAGCUGCGCCUAGUGCCAGGAUCUGCCUUUUAAACAAUGGCAGGAGGAUAUUUCCAAAUCCUCUCAAGAUGGCUGCUGCAUGGAGUAGUUUCUCAGCACUCCUAAAUCUAUGUCAGAGCAGGGCCGUCUUAACAGCAUUAUGGGCCCUGGGCAAAGCAGUGUAUUGAGGCCCCUACGACAGCUACUCACAGGAAUAAAAAUGUAAGUGGUUGAUAAAAUUAAACAUAUAUUUGCAUGUUAGUAUUAAUUAAAAUGCAGUAAAAUGUAAUAAAUAUGUUGCUGUAUUUAUAUGAUACAAGGUGCAUUGAAGGGUUAACUAGUAUGGGCCCCCUAUGCUCGUGGGGCUCAUGGACAAAUGCCCAUCAGUCCCACGCGUUAAGACAGCCCUGUGUCGGAGUGCUGUGAAAAGUUCAAAAUUUUACUGGUUUACAUACAGAC